rnacentral:lncRNA from 1 species
UGAAUUACUAAAAUUAGUAUUAUUAAAGACUCAUUGAGGCUUUGUGGACUUGUCUUGGUGAGUGACUUUAAUAUAUGUGAUAUGGUUAUUACCCUGUUUGUCUUAUAUUAGUAUCCUUUGUGGAUAUGACCUGGUUUUAUGAAAGUGUUUUCUGUAAAAUGUGAUUUUUAUAAUUGGCCAUCGAUCUAUUUUUAUUAAAUGUGAUUUGAUUCAUGGACUGGAAAUAUAUGUGAAAAAGUGAAUUAUAGUGCCUAUUGAAAUGUUUGUUAAAUUGAGGGCUAGUAGGGGAACGUUACCCUAGUGUCACGAGGUUAGGUGACACUGAGUCUGCACCAUGUAAUAGUGGUACAUGGAUGGUCCUGCUUAGUUAAUUCGCGAUAUGGGACCAUACUAUUUAUGGAUUGCACUUGGUUAAUCCACGAUGGGUGAUCUUUAUGGCCAUGUAUACUUAGGAGUGAUCAUGCUUGGUUAAUGCACGAUGGGUGAUCACUGCCUAACAAUUUUGUAGGUGUGAAUCUGCUUGGUUAAUCCGCGAUGGGGGAUCACUACCUACUUGGUUAUCUUGACCUUGCUUGGUUAAUCUGCAAUGGGGGUCACUUGAGGUCCUGCUUGGUUAAUCCGCAAUAGGACCUUAUUAUUUAUGGAUCGUGCUUGGUUAAUCCGCGAUGGGCGAUCCUUAUGGCCAUACAUACUUAGGGGUGAUCAUGCUUGGUUAAUCCGCGAUUGGUGAUCACUGCCUAACAUAUUCGUAUGAGUGACCCUGCUUGGUUAAUCUGCGAUGGGAGGUCACUACCUACAUGGUUACUCAUGGGUGGCUCUGCUUGGUUAAUCCACUAUGGGGGGGCCACUUCCUAUUUGGUUACUUAUGUAGGCUUCGGUCAAACUGCGUCCCUCUAGCCCUAGAUUUUAGUGUAUUUAUGAACAAUAGUUUUUGAGAAUCUUUGGGGCUUGAGUUGGAAAAAUUGUUGGAUGUCUGGGUGACUCCUUUGGAGUUUUUAGAGACUUGACUAUGUUUUCAUAAUUAUGAACUUAUAUUUAAGGUUUAUAAACUGUGAUCAAUGGUCUUUCUUUUUAUUGAUUAUCACAUACUUGUAUUAUUGUCACUCACCCGAGCUUCGCAACUUAUCCAAGUUUUGGUUUACCAGUGCACCAUUCCCAUGAUUUUACAAAUGAUUUCGUUGAGUGGCUCGAAACCCGAUGCGGUCGGAUUUCGUUGAGUGUUCCGAAAUCCUUACUCUUGUACAUUUCCAAAAGGUUAGUCUAGAACCCUAGUUUCGAGUGAAUGAGAAUUAUCCACAAUAGACCUUGUGAAAAUAAAAUAGAUUUACCAUGUUGUUACUCAUAAUCCAAGUAGGAAAUUAUAUAGAGUUCUUUAAUUAAAUUCGUGAAAUGAUAUGUUAUCACAUUGGUUGAUUAACGUAGUUAAAUGUUAAGAUCAUGCAUCUUUGAUUCAUGAAUGGAUUAAUUGACAAGAUUGUGGAAUAACGUUGGAUAUGAUUGUUAUUAUUAUGAUUAUCUUAGUUGAUCAAUGUGGCUUGAGAAUAAUAUUGUGCUUCGAUGGUUAGUUGAUAUGAUACAUGUUGUGGUUGGAGGUAUCAUGUUGAAAACAUAGUGAUUUAUAUGAUGGAUGGAAUGGAAACCUUGAAUAUCAUGUGGGUUUGUUAUGUAGCCCUGAACCUAGUAAUUUCAUGCUUGUUAAGUUCUAAUAAUUGAUUAAGAAAUGCUUUGCUUUUUUUUUUUAAAACGUCUUGUGAUAAAUAUUGAAGUGUAAUGAAUGGUGAACUACGAAUGGCUUGAUCCCUAUUGAGGGUAUGCAGGCAGUCAAACGAGGAGGUUAGAUGCAGCCAUAAAGUGUACGAAAAAUUAUUACGUAGUUGGAUCGUGAGUUAUGCUUUGCUCAUAUAUCGGAGGCGGGGUAUGUUAGAUACACAUAUAAUUGAUAACGUCACGUGUCGAUCCUGGAUGUAUGUCGGGAUCAUGGUGUGACAACUUAAGACCGCAAGAGCUUAGAGGCCACGCCAGGCCCCAUAGCUUGUUCAUUUCUUCUUAGCCCAAACAGGCCUCUGGGCCUAGUUUAAAUGGAAUGGGGCUUCUCCCUUAAUCUUUCUCUUGCACGGGCCAAGCCAACGACCCACAGGCCCAAGGCCUUUCAUUCCCCUUUCUCUCCCAGCUUAUCGAGGCCAUCACAUACGCACUAAGUCAUAGCCCACGCCAUCAGCACCUCGGCACAAGCCUAGCCGCACCUGGCCCAGCCAACCGCUUCCACAUCAAGCUAACAGAAGUAGCCCCACUGGUAACAAUCAUGCCAUGGCUUUCCAGCCACCUCCUUGACCCCAGUCGAGCCAAAUUUCAAGCCCUGAGGCUCCAAAAAUUAAGAAGACAAGGAAAAUUAACUUUUUCUUACCUUGGUGCAAUGUGAAGACGAAGAAAGCAAUGAAAGAUGGUCAUUUGCAUGGGCAAGUGAAGAAGAUUGCUAGGGGCGGGGGAACAAAUAUCCCCUAGCUUUCUCUCUCUUGUAGAGUUGAAUAAAUUGCUCUCUGAAGUUGAUUUAAUCAUCUACUUAAGGUAGACUUAAAUAAACUUUGGAAGUGAUUUAUUUCCAUUUCCUAGAAUGAUCUAAUUUUCAAUUAAAGUGGGAAUCUACAUCA